rnacentral:rRNA from 1 species
CCUACGGGUGGCUGCAGUGAGGAAUAUUGGUCAAUGGCCGUAAGCCUGAACCAGCCAAGUCGCGUGAAGGAAGAAAGAUCUAUGGUUUGUAAACUUCUUUUAUAGGGGAAUAAAGGUAUCCACGUGUGGAUAUUUGCAUGUACCCUAUGAAUAAGCAUCGGCUAACUCCGUGCCAGCAGCCGCGGUAAUACGGAAGAUGCGAGCGUUAUCCGGAUUUAUUGGGUUUAAAGGGUGCGUAGGUUGUUUUUUAAGUCAGCGGUGAAAGUUUGUGGGUCAACCAUAAAAGUGCCGUUGAAACUGGAGGACUUGAGUGUGUGUAGGGUAGAUGGAAUGCGUGGUGUAGCGGUGAAAUGCAUAGAUAUCACGCAGAACUCCGAUUGCGAAGGCAGCUUACUAAGCCAUAACUGACACUGAAGCACGAAAGCGUGGGGAUCAAACAGGAUUAGAUACCCUUGUAGUC